rnacentral:rRNA from 1 species
CCGACGGGUGAGUAACACGUAUCCAACCUGCCGUCUACUCUUGGACAGCCUUCUGAAAGGAAAGAAUUAAUACAAGAUGGCAUCAUGAGUCCGCAUGUUCACAUGAUUAAAGGUAUUCCGGUAGACGAUGGGGAUGCGUUCCAUUAGAUAGUAGGCGGGGUAACGGCCCACCUAGUCUUCGAUGGAUAGGGGUUCUGAGAGGAAGGUCCCCCACAUUGGAACUGAGACACGGUCCAA